rnacentral:rRNA from 1 species
UACGUAGGGGGCAAGCGUUGUCCGGAAUUAUUGGGCGUAAAGCGCGCGCAGGCGGCCUUGUACGUCUGUCGUUUAAACUCGGAGCUCAACUUCGAGUCGCGAUGGAAACUGCAAAGCUUGAGUGCAGAAGAGGAAAGUGGAAUUCCACGUGUAGCGGUGAAAUGCGUAGAGAUGUGGAGGAACACCAGUGGCGAAGGCGACUUUCUGGGCUGUAACUGACGCUGAGGCGCGAAAGCGUGGGGAGCAAACAGG